rnacentral:rRNA from 1 species
UACGUAGGGUGCAGGCGUUAAUCGGAAUUACUGGGCGUAAAGCGUGCGCAGGCGGUUUCUUAAGUCAUACGUGAAAUCCCUCAGCUUAACUGGGGAACUGCGUCUGAUACUGGAUGGCUUGAGUUUGGGAGAGAGAUGCGGAAUUCCAGGUGUAGCGGUGAAAUGCGUAGAUAUCUGGAGGAACACCGGUGGCGAAGGCGGCAUCCUGGACCAAUACUGACACUGAGGAGCGAAAGCCAAGGGGAGCAAACCGGG